ACUCCGCCCGAUUCCAAAAGCCCAGGGGGUGGGCCUCGCCCUUCCUCUCCCUCCAGGUUUAAUUAUCUGAAGAGUCUUGGACUUUCAUUUCUUGUUUUUUGCUUGUUUGCUUGUUUGUUUGCACCUGGUUGAUGUAUAAGUCUUGGACUUUGGGAGACCCAAAAGAGAAGGAAGGUGUUGGCAAUAUCCUUGAAGAGACUAAAAGAACUCAGAACAACACUGAACAAGCCAGCAGAGCCAUCAACUCACCCCUACAGUCUCCAUACACAGACUCCAUGAAAGCAUUGGCCAUCAGCUCUCACUGGUUUCUGCCCCAAAUUCACACACUCCCUCCUAUCACCAAAGCCACCCGCCACCGCUGGCCUCCUGCAUGCUGUGGGAGGAGAGGAGGGCAGACAACGUUGCCUCCCCUGACUCCCAUCGCGCGGGCUUCAAACACUCAGUGAGACAACCAUGGACCCUAGGGAUGCAACAGUGAAGGAGACGCAGCCUUUCAACACCUGGCAGGGCAGAGACACUUCAACAGUCAUUGCCAGCCCCAGUGGACAAUGUAAGGAGGCCACCAGCCAAGAAAUGCUGUCAGUGCCUGGAAGCUGGAAAGGCAAUGAAAUGGAUUUUCCCCAGAACCUCCAGGGAGAAUAUGGCACAGCUUCUACCUUGAUUUUCACCCAGUGAGACACAUUUUGGAUUUCUGACCUAAAGAAUUGUAAGGCUGCCUGGAUCCCCAGAGUUUGUCUGGAAAGCCUCUUGAGAUGGGGUUAUGUGCUCCGAGGAUCCCAGGAGGAAGGAUGGGGCAAGAGCAGACAAACCUAUGCCUCUACAGCAGCUGUACCGUUGUCCUGGGAGUGAGCCCCAGCCGUGGCUCAAGGCACACGUGCCUCCAGAGGACAAUCUGGGAUGCUCAGGGGACAGAGAGGCAGAGGGACUAUCAGGGUGAAGCUGUCUUUUUCACUUGUUUGGCACUCAGCCCAGGGCCUGGAUUUAUCCUGCACAAAAUGAACAGUGCAGGGCCCUUCAUCUGGGGAAAG
rnacentral:lncRNA from 10 species